ensembl:lncRNA
GCCCACAAAGAAGAGCUUAAGAACAGAAGAGAUUCCAGGUCCUUCCAGGCCAAUAAUUUCUUCCUACCAUUAGAAAAGGACACCGGGCUUGAAACCUGCCUGUUCCUGUGUUCUGUUCCCCAGCAUCCUUCACUGACGUAUUAUGGAUGUUUAAAGGUAAAUCUCUUAUCCUUUUAAUAUCUUCAUAAAUAUAUGGUAUGAAGAUAGGUAAUAUUUUUUGAGUGUUUUAGACAUAAGUUUUUUUUUAAUCUUCCCACUUUUUCUUGAACUUGCUCAUAGUGUCAGUCUCCAUAACUUUGUAGUGCAUCUUUUCACAACACAUCUCAGAUGUUCAUUCCGCUGUGUGCCAAAAAGUGCUUUUCUCUCUCUUGUUUCCAAAAAUAACUGUUUCUUCCUUUCUAGCUCCAAGUAUUGGUAUCGAUCUGAUUGCACAGUGAAGGAAAAAUCUUAGUGUAUUCCCUUUCCUUUUCUCUCUGUUCCUCCCUUUGCUGUUCCCUGGCUACCUUUGGUAGCUUUGAGCAUUGUACGUUAGCUCUGCUGUUUUCAACAGAAGUACAGUGUGGUAAGAAGGGGAAUAAAAAGGGUGAGAAAAAAUAUUUCCACUUUCUUCUCUAUCAGUAAUAUUUUUUCCUUCUAUUUCUAUAACAAUUUAUUCUUCUAUAUCAGUAAUAUAGGGGUUUUCAUUCUAUGCUAGAAUGGAAAUCAGAGCGUGAAGUCCUUAUCUGUCUGAGACACUGUUGACAAGGCAAUCUGUACUGAGAUAAGGAACAUAUUUUUUCACUCAUCAUUGUGACACUGACGCAUAAAUUUAAUACUUAAGCUUUUUUUUUUUUUUUUCUGACUGCUAUUGCUGGAUCAGUUGUAUGAGAUGGAUGGUACUGUUUGAUAUAGCUACAGAUAUAGAGUGCACUGCCAACUUCCUUAUCCAUCUUUUCUAAAAUGAAAAGAAUGAGGUGUGAUAUGGGACUUAGUGGUUCUGCUUCCCCUUCCAGCUCGUUCUCUGAUCUCUUUGCAGGCGCUGCCGCAAGGAAGUCAGACAGUAGAAACGAAAGCGAUCCAGUGCUUCGCCACUGUAACCUUCCUACCCACACCUGCCACUGCAACUCCUUUUCCUUUUUAAGAGAUCUUAACGGAAUCAGGUCAGGCUUUCGUAUACUAAUCUGCAAUCUGCUCUAACCUCUCAUCCUUUACCUUAUGUUUUGUAGCCAAUAGAGUAGACAGUCUGUCACUAUGUGUUUAUUUUGUAGCAUGGGUGAGGUUUGCAAACACUUCUGUGAUUAGUAAAUUGAAAUUCGCUGCUGUGUUAUCAUCUGCCUGUUGAGAAUGCUCAUCGGUCUACAUUUCUCAGAAACUGCUCCGUGCUUAAUGUGCACAGCUUCUUUAAUUCCAAAGUGUUCUUAGGAAAGGAGGCGUUUCUGUAUUCUGAGGGUAGACUUUAGGUCAUCUGAAGAACUGAGAAAUGUGUUACGGCGUGCCCAGUUCUUGCAGACCUAUUCAAACAUAUUCUGACAUAAAAGUAGCUUGGAAUAUUUUAUCAUACAACCAGCGAAUUAUUUCAGUGCCCGUUUCUUCUGCGAGCUCCUAGUUUGAAAUGCAAUAAAUAAAACAAUCAUAGUUAUUGCA